GAAACGAGGAUUAAUACUGCGUAACAUUAUUUUAUUGCAUGAUAGAAUAAUCAAAUCUACGGAGGAUACAGAUGGGCAUGCGUACCAUUAGCUAGAUGGUAAGGUAACGGCUUACCAUGGCAAUGAUGGUUAGGGGUUCUGAAGGAAGAUCCCCACACUGGUACUGAGACACGGACCAGACUCCUACGGGAGGCAGCAGUGAGGAAUAUUGGUCAAUGGAGGCAACUCUGAACCAGCCAAGCCGCGUGAAGGAAGACUGUUCUAUGAAUUGUAAACUUCUUUUGUGACAGAGUAAAAAUAGCUACGUGUAGUUAUUUGCAAGUAUGUCAUGAAUAAGCAUCGGCUAACUCCGUGCCAGCAGCCGCGGUAAUACGGAGGAUGCAGGCGUUAUCCGGAUUUAUUAGGUUUAAAGGGUGUUCAGGCUGUCUGAUAAGUCAGAGGUGAAAGUCGGUUGCUUAACGAUCGAAUUGCCUUUGAAACUGUUAGACUCGAGUAUGGAUGCGGUAGGCGGAAUGUGUAGUGUAGCGGUGAAAUGCAUAGAUAUUACACAGAACACCGAUUGCGAAGGCAGCUUACCAAACCAGCACUGACGCUGAAGCACGAAAGCGUGGGUAGCGAACAGGAUUAGAUACCCUGGUAGUCCACGCCGUAAACUUUGCUCACUCGCUGUUGGCGAUACACAGUCAGCGGCUAAGGGAAACCGAUAAGUGAGCCACCUGGGGAGUACGAUCGCAAGAUUGAAACUCAAAGGAAUUGACGGGGGCCCGCACAAGCGGUGGAACAUGUGGUUUAAUUCGAUGAUACGCGAGGAACCUUACCUGGGCUUAAAUGUAUAGUGCAUGAAUGUGAAAACAUUCUUUCCUUCGGGACUUUAUACAAGGUGCUGCAUGGUUGUCGUCAGCUCGUGCCGUGAGGUGUCGGGUUAAGUCCCAUAACGAGCGCAACCCCUAUUGUUAGUUACCAGCGCGUAAUGGCGGGGACUCUAGCGAAACUGCCGGUGUAAACCGCGAGGAAGGUGGGGAUGACGUCAAAUCAGCACGGCCCUUAUGUCCAGGGCUACACACGUGUUACAAU
rnacentral:rRNA from 1 species